UACGUAGGGGGCAAGCGUUAUCCGGAUUUACUGGGUGUAAAGGGAGCGUAGACGGCAAUACAAGUCGGAAGUGAAAUACCCGGGCUCAACCUGGGAACUGCUUUGGAAACUGUAUGGCUGGAGUGCUGGAGAGGUAAGCGGAAUUCCUAGUGUAGCGGUGAAAUGCGUAGAUAUUAGGAGGAACACCAGUGGCGAGGGCGGCUUACUGGACUGUAACUGACGUUGAGGCUCGAAAGCGUGGGGAGCAAACAGG
rnacentral:rRNA from 1 species